GACGAACCGUGCAAACGUUGUUCGGAAUCACUGGGCUUAAAGGGCGCGUAGGCGGAGGACCAAGUCCGGGGUGAAAUCUUUCGGCUUAACCGGAAAAGGGCCUUGGAUACUGGUUCUCUAGAGGGAGGUAGGGGCAUGUGGAACUUCUGGUGGAGCGGUGAAAUGCGUUGAUAUCAGAAGGAACGCCGGUGGCGAAAGCGACGUGCUGGAUCUCUACUGACGCUGAUGCGCGAAAGCCAGGGGAGCAAACGGG
rnacentral:rRNA from 1 species